AUGACACAGCAAAAUGGCGUCCAUAAGCAUACAAGUAUCUUACAACCGAUCUAUAUUACAGAAGCGCAGAUACAUUCAACGAGACGAUGGAAUUCUAAAGAGAAGCUGAAGCAGAGUAAGCCGAGUCGUCCGUCAGGGUCAGGUACACAGGAUGCAGCAACCGCGUCGCUUGACGCGCUCCGCUCCUCAACCGCCGCCCCCACCGCCCCCGUGGCCGCCUCCACCACCGCAGCCGCCGCCGCCGGCGCCAUCACCUCCGUAGCCGGCGCCGCUGCCGCUGCCCCAGCGCUCGCGGCGGCGUCGCUUGGCCCUCCCGUCGUCGGCGCAGCCGAACGCCGCGAUGGCCACGACGGCGACCGCGCCCACGAGGACGAAGAGCAGACCCACUACGGCGCCGGGCGCGCGCUGCACGGAGCCGGCUGCGGCGGCGGCGAAGCCUCUCGCCGCGGCGAGAUCCAACGCCCUCACCAUUUCAGCUGCUGGAGGCUACGCCUUUUGUGCGAGCCAGCUGGAAGCGCCGAUACCGCCUAG
rnacentral:rRNA from 1 species